AUCAAUUUCACUGAAGCAAAAUGUCCUCAAGAGCUUGCUGUGUCCUCUCUAUCAAUAUGCUCAAACAUAACUGAAAGUGUAGAGAAGCCCAAGAGUGGUCAAAGAUGUUCUGACCCGAGAAAAUUCUGGUCCCUGGCCACCUAUGAGCUCAGUUUUUCAAGUCUCCUAAUAGGAACCUUAUGGCUGGGGACAGCUGGGUGUCAGUGCGUCCUCUUCAAGCAGCUGUUUGCGGUAACCUAUGGUCAUAAGAACCAGGCUCUGGGGGAUACUGGUCUGAUAGAUUUAUUAGGCAGAGGUUUUUUUUUUUGCCUGCUGUUUAUGUCAUGAACCAGGAGCGGCAAAAACGUUUAAUCUUGCAUGCUAACUGACUGAUAAUCACUGAUGGUAGCUCUAUGCUAAGGAUUCUGAGACCACCAUGGGACUGGAUGGAACAGCAUGCUGUGAUCUGCUAAUGAUGUCUGCUAUGGACACCACAAGAUGAAAUGGUCUUCUAGGUGCCAUCUCUUUGCUACUCUAGCAACGACAAGUGGGAGAAAAUGAUUGGUCCCUGAGAAAUCUAGGCCAAGGGACAAGAUACAGCCAUGGGGCCCUGACCCCCUACCAUUCCUGGCCUGUAAGUCAGAACACAGAUCAACUCUCUAAAAGAGGGGGCAAGUCUUUCCACUGCCAAAGAUAUUGCUAGUCAAUCUUAA